UCCCGGUUAACCCGGGCAGUCUCACUAGAGUUCCCACCAUUACGUGUUGGCAACUAGUGAUAAGGGUUGCGCUCGUUGCGGGACUUAACCCAACACCUCACGGCACGAGCUGACGACAGCCAUGCAGCACCUGUGCAGCGGCCCCGAAGGGAAGCACCAUUUCUGAUGCGGUCCACUGCAUGUCAAGUCUGGGUAAGGUUCUUCGCGUUGCAUCGAAUUAAACCACAUACUCCACUGCUUGUGCGGGUCCCCGUCAAUUCUUUUGAGUUUCACCCUUGCGAGCGUACUCCCCAGGCGGUAUACUUAUCGCGUUAGCUACGGCACAACCGGGGUUGAGUCCAGUUACACCAAGUAUACAUCGUUUAGGGCAAGGACUAC
rnacentral:misc_RNA from 1 species